GCAAAAUUUUUACGUUCGAAACCUUCGACUUCAGAGUGAAUAGCCCCUCAAAAGUUAUUGAAGUUCAGGAUGGUCAUAUUAUUACCAAUUGGUAUACCAAAAGUACAUAUUCAGAUCCUUUAGAUCAGCUUGAAAAGAUGGUAUUUGUCUACAAGAUCACUUGCAAGAUCUGUAAAAUGACUUAUGUGGGACAGACUGGUAGACUUAUUAAUACUAGCAGGAGGGGACACAAAAGCGAUGUUCGUUUGGGACGCUGUUACAAGAUUGUUUUUGCCAGACAUACGAUUUUGAGGUAUCAAAGAGAGGGUAUCGUUGUUUCGUUGCUGUUCCUACCUGCUAAAAUUGUUUUUACCCUAGUAAGGGUGAAUGUGGUCAAUUUUAUAAAU